UGGGCGGGGACCAACAAAUAUCAAUGAUACAAUAAACAGCACAAAAACUGAACAGCCAGCCACAAAAGAAACUUCAAUGAAAAACAAACCAGACGUUAAAGCACUGAUGGAUUCUAAUGCCAUUUUAUAUCCAUCUUUGGCAUCAAAUGCUUCUAAUCAUAAUAGUCAUGUGGUGGAUAUGCUAAGGAAAAAUGAAGGUCCUCACACUUCAGCAAAUGUAGGUGUUCUAAGUAGUUGCCUGGAUGUAAGAACAGUAAUUCCUGAAACUUCUGUAUCCAGUACUGUUUGCAGCACACAAACUAUGGUAACCCAGCAGACCAUUAAAACUGAAUCAUCCAGUACAAAUGGGGCAGUUGUUAAAGAUGAAACUUCACUAACAACAUUCAGUACCAAAUCUGAAGUUGAUGAAACAUAUGCACUGCCUGCAACGAAGAUCAGCCGUGUAGAGACACAUGCUACAGCAACGCCGUUUUCUACAGAAAUAAAUAACUGAAGUGCACAUUUGUUUUGAGCUUCUGGAAACAGUGUCUCAUUUAUAAGAAGAUGGCUUUAAAAGAAAGAGACUCCUUCAAAUCCAGUGGCCACAGUGAAAGCGGGAGAACGACAAUGGUGUGAUGUGGGAAUUUUUAAAAAUAAUACAGCUUUGGUGAGCCAGUUUUAUUUGCUGCCAAAAGGGAAGCAAAGCAUCUCAAAGGUAGGAAAUGCAGAUGUACCUGACUACAGCUUGCUUAAGAAACAAGAUCUUGUUCCAGGCACAGGAUACAGAUUCAGGGUUGCUGCAAUCAAUGGUUGUGGGAUAGGUCCUUUCAGCAAAAUCAGUGAAUUUAAAACUUGUAUUCCUGGUUUUCCUGGAGCUCCUUCUGCAGUCAGAAUUUCAAAGAAUGUUGAAGGUAUCCAUCUUUCCUGGGAACCUCCAACUUCACCUUCUGGAAAUAUUUUGGAAUAUUCAGCCUACUUGGCUAUCCGCACAGCACAGAUACAAGAUAAUCCAAGUCAACUUGUGUUCAUGAGGAUUUAUUGUGGUCUUAAGACAUCAUGUAUAGUAACUGCUGGGCAACUUGCAAAUGCACAUAUUGAUUAUACAUCCAGGCCUGCCAUUGUGUUCAGGAUAUCAGCAAAGAAUGAAAAGGGAUAUGGACCAGCUACACAAGUUCGGUGGCUUCAAGGUAACAAUAAGAAAGCACCUUUAAAUUGAAUUGGUUUUUUUACUGAAGCUAUUGUGA
rnacentral:sRNA from 1 species